ACGGGACGAGAAGUAAUAGGAUUGGUUCUCAUAAUUAUCAGGCGGAGCGAAUCCGAAAAGAUUACCUCGGUUCGGAUUGUUCUCUACAACUCGGGAACGUGAAGUUGAACUCGCUAGUAAUCGCGGAUCAGCAUGUCGCGGUGAAUA
rnacentral:ncRNA from 1 species